GACUCCGUGCGUGUCUCGCGUGUUCAGAAUUCAUUGUGCGCAGGUACGGUGUUGUAUUUAGAGUGCCGUCGCGCUAGCAAACGACACGCGAGCCAUGUGAGAUCGUAUGUAACGUUAGGUCGUAUUUAUUUGUAAAGCGCGGCAUCGUGCGUUUGCCUUCGGUUUCGAGUGAAGUGUUCGCGUGUGCAUUCGAGCAAAGUGUUUAUUCGAAGGGGAUACGUUCGGUAGAAUAUCGCGAGUGCCAAUUAAGUGAAGUGCUACUAGUCGUCACGAAUAUACGAAAUAGAAAAUUCUCGAAACGAAUUUGUCUCCGUGCGUUGUAUCUCGGCGCGUAAUUUUCAUUCAAACGGUUUUCUCACCGCUUUCCUCAGUCUGCGUUUUCACGAAAUUAUGUGACGUCACGCCACUUUCGUGACAUGUUGAUUUUCGUUCCGGGUAAAGUUUCGUGUGCGCGUAUUCACUUGAGGAGGGCACACAAUUCGUUCGGUAGAAUGUCGAUCGUGCCAAUAAUGAAAUUUUACUAGUCGUCGCGCAAUCAGAGAUACAAAACUCGGGGAGUGAAUUGCUUUACUUUUGUUCAGUGUGCCUCGAUGUGCGCAUUCAAACGAUUCUUGGCGCUUUUUUCGGGUUUCGUUUUGUGACAUCACGCAUCAUAUCACUUUUCUGCCAUAUUUUCUUUUUUGAUUCGCCGCCAAUCAGACGAGCCGUACUUUUCACGUAUUUUUUCAAACGUAACGGUUGCGCCAAGUGAACUUCUCGCGCGCGGUUUACGUUUUACUCGUGUGAUAUAUUAUCCGUAAUAUCGGGUUUGCCGAAUAAAGAAAAAAUCAGGCAAUCGUUAUUAAUGUGCGGUUCGAGAAUAGCAGGUGAUGUCAGCAGAAAGUGGCAUCCAUGGAGUGACUCGAAUCAAAACAGGAAAAGGAAUGUAGCAGUAGCAGCAGCAGCAGCAUCAGCAGCAAGAGCAGCGACAGCAAUCGGUGAGUGAAUUUUCAUCAAAUCAAUUAUUUGAAUUUAUAUCAUGUAUAUGUGAAACAAAGUGAUAUGUGAUAAACGUGAUGACUGAUGCGAGAUAAAAUAUUAGUUCUGUUCCAUGCUAUAUCUGUACAGUGUCAGUAUUGCACAUUUAUAGAACACGAUUAUGCACAUUUGCAUAAAACAGAUUUAAAAUAUGAAUGCAUAUAAUUGUAAAAUUUACAGGUAUAGCAUGAAACAGAACCAAAUAAACGUGGACAAAGCAUAGAAAAGACCCAAAAAGUCAUGCACAUUGCCUAUACAGGAUUCGUAGAUAUUUGAUUACAUAGUUCAAUGUGCACAUUUUAUGCACAUAGAGGCAUAUGGAUGAAAACACCUAAAACGACGCUAUGACUGCUCUCAGGUUUCUCUCUGGUAUAACAGGAAAAUUAAAUUUUAUUUGAAUUUGAGCAAAAAACUGUAUGUAAGAAUUUUUUUACAUAAAUACCUCGUAUGUAAUCAUAAAUAUUUUAUUAAGUAUAGCAGAUGUCAAAAAUUUUCUUUGCAAACUAAGGUCCGUUUCUACCAAUGUAAAUUAGCUUUAAUCUUAGUUUAACUUACCCUUACCCUAUUCUAGUUCAAAAGUUAGAAAAAGAUAAAGAGUAAAUUAAAUCGAGAUUAAAAUUAAUCUGCAAAAACGGGUCUAAGGGCUGGUUGAUCCAACUUCUUAGUAAAUUUAUGUAUCAGGUAAAUAUGUAUGUCUUUAAUUAUUUAGAAAAAAGUGCAGAUAGACACAUGCUUACUUGGUAGGUAAAUUUAUCAAGAAGUUGGAACAACCGGCUUCAAAAAUCUUAACAACAUACUUGUUUUUUUAUUACAAUAAAACUUCAGCACGUCAUAUAUUAUAUAUUAUAAUAUGACAAAGUAAAAAUGAAAAUAGCCUUUUUUACAAAUUUAAUUGCAAAUUUUUCAAAAUCGCGAUACAGUAAUUUAAAAACCAAAUUCAUAUUUAGCAUCCAAAAAAUUAUAGGAAAUAAUUUGUAUUUUGAUUAAAAAAAAUCAUUUUUUAUUGAACUGUGUCAUCCGUAAAGAAAAGUUUUUACUCUCCCGAAUACAAAACAUUGUGCUUUUCUUUUGUGACUUUUUUAUUAAAACACAACGAUUACCAGUCUUGAAGAAUAGGUAUACAUUUCUUUCAUCUCGUAUUUUGUAUAUACGGCGCAACCUUGUAAACUCGUCUCUUGAAAAUUUACUUGAAGAUAUUUUCUACAAGUCGAGACUAUAAAAAAUCACAGUUCUCACUCAUCUCAAAUAACUUAAUUAUCACUCACGAUUAAUAUCAAAAUCGGAAACUCGCGAAUAUGUAUUAUGAUAGUUUUUUCUCUUUCUUUCUUUUUCCUUGUAUUAUACAUACACGAACAAUAUUGUAAGAGAAGAGAAGAGGUGUAUUGUGUGUGUCAAGGAACAAAUUAUAAAUUUUCGUAUUAAGCAAUGUAUAGUUGUUCCUCUAAAUUAAUGUGUGCUGCGAUUACAACAUGAAACUGUAUGUCCUUUUUCAUUUCUUUUUAUAUCAAUUUUGUAAUUCCAUAUGUAUUGUUUCCAUUUCAUUGUAAUUAAUCACGUUCACUCUUUGUAGCAAAAAAAUUAUAUAUAUACACACAUAUACAUUCAAUUAUCUUGCACAAAACACCUUCCUAGACAACACAAA